rnacentral:rRNA from 1 species
UUACGGGAGGCAGCAGUGGGGAAUAUUGCACAAUGGGCGCAAGCCUGAUGCAGCCAUGCCGCGUGUAUGAAGAAGGCCUUCGGGUUGUAAAGUACUUUCAGUCGUGAGGAAGGUGUUAAGGUUAAUAACCUUAGCAAUUGACGUUAGCGACAGAAGAAGCACCGGCUAACUCCGUGCCAGCAGCCGCGGUAAUACGGAGGGUGCGAGCGUUAAUCGGAAUUACUGGGCGUAAAGGGCACGCAGGCGGUUAAUUAAGUUGGAUGUGAAAUCCCCGGGCUUAACCUGGGAAUGGCAUUCAAGACUGGUUAGCUAGAGUCUUGUAGAGGGGGUAGAAUUCCAUGUGUAGCGGUGAAAUGCGUAGAGAUGUGGAGGAAUACCGGUGGCGAAGGCGGCCCCUGGACAAAGACUGACGCUCAUGUGCGAAAGCGUGGGGAGCAAACAGGGAUUAGAUACC